GGCCUGCGGGAGGGUUGCACUGGGAGGAGGGACCCAACGCUAGUGCCUGCCUGUCCUCUAGUCUGCAACCAAUAUUUUUGCAACCAUGGCGGGCAUGUCGAGGAAGAAGCGGCUGCUUAAGCCUUUGUUAUUUGGAAGUAUCUUCUGCGCUUUAGCGACCGCCUUCGUGUUCAGACAUCGCUUUUUCCCUGAAGUAGACGAGCUCCGUGCCCGCGAGCACCAGUACCGCGAGGAGAAGCGCCAGGAGGUGCUGCAGAGGCGACAGCAACAGCUGGCUGAGCUUCAACAGAAGAAAACUGCCUCGUAGUUGGCCUGGCCUGCACUGCUGGAGCAAGACUGAGGCCACCUAAAUGGCCCACUAACUAAAUGAGCUGGGUGGUAUUUCUCUUGCACACCGUUGUUACCUGGGGUUUCUUACCCCCGGGCUUCUCAGUGCACUUAAGUGAUCUUAACGACUUCUAAUGCCUCCUUGGAGAGAUUAUGCUUUGUCUAGCUGCAGAACAGAGUUUUGAGGCUGAGGAAAUCUGAAAUUUUUGAUUUUUAAAAAAAGAUGGCUUUGAAUUGUAUGCUCAAUGGAAAUGGUCUUGCCAUGACUUGGAUGACGAGCUGAGUUUUGCUGAAUCUCUGCCACUCUAAACAUUUCAUGUAAAGUGACCCCCCCAUUUUUUAUUUUGGUAAUUUUUAUUGCUCUUGUGAAUAUUAUAGACUCACUAUGGAUUUUUUAAAAUGCAUGCUUAACAUUGCUAAUUUCUGUGCAGGAGCUUCUAGGUUCGGGUACACAAAGUAAAACUUGCUUUCCUUUUUGAAACACUUUUAAUUUUGAAACAUUAAUUUCUGUAAAUGAAUUACAAAUACAGGAUGAUGAAAGGUAAAGGCUUGAUUGUAAAACAAAUAUAUCCAACUGCUUUUAAUGGUUUAAUGUGAAAUUCUGAAUCUUGCUUUUUCUCCUAUACAUUCCUGCACAUAAAAUGAAUGACAAUCUCUACCUUAUUAUCAAAUACAAAUCAAUUUGUUCAAAAAGUGCUGCAUAUACUUUGUACUCCUGUCACAAUUAUAAAUGUGCUUCAAAUAAAAAUUGUGCAAUUUAAGUAAA